rnacentral:lncRNA from 1 species
AAGACACAUUCCAACCCUUCUUCUUCUUCUUCUUCCUCCUCCCACCCUCUCCCCAUUUUUCUUCUUCUUCUUUCUCACACUAAUCUUCGGUUAUUGAGUAAACAUGGCUGCGGUGCCUGUUCCGAGAACAAGUGCGCUAAUGAUCCUUAAUGGUGCCACUCCGACAGCCUUUCCAUCUUCGUCACCGCCACCAAUUUUCACUCCCCCAACUAUGCUCUGCCAACGACAAUGGCGGCUGGUGCAACCCGCGUCGCCCCACUUCGAUCUCGCCAUGCCAAUGUUCCUCAUUAUCCCUGACUAAUCGCACUGGAAUCGUCCCUGAUUCUUACCAAGGUUAGUGGGAGGAGGAAAAAGAAGAGGAAGAAGAAGAAGAAGAAGAAAAGGACAAGAACAAGAAGAAAAAGACAGUUUCUUUGUCUUCUUUUUCUGUACCAGUAGGCAGUAAUCGCUUUCCCUUAUUAUCCAAUCAGAACUUCAGCAACCCUCUGAGCAGCAGAGAAUCCGUGCUGGAAUCGUCCCUGCUUCUUACCAAGGUUAGUGGGAGGAGGAAAAAGAAGAGGAAGAAGAAGAAGAAGAAAAGAACAAGAACAAGAACAAGAACAAGAAGAAAAAGACAGUCUCUUUGUCUUCUUUUUCUGUACCAGUAGGCAGUAAUCGCUUUCCCUUAUUAUCCAAUCAGAACUUCAGCAAACCUCUGAGCCGCAGAGAAUCCGUGAAUCAAGUUCUAGCAAAGAUUCCAACUGGGUUUUUCUUAAAGCCCCCAUUCAUGGAAGCCUCGUCUCCCAUCUUUGCUCAACAGAAAACCCGCCUGCAAGACCUCACCGAAGCAUAACAAGAAGAACUUCGUCACUACUUUAAUGGUGUCCGCCACUCUUCGCUCUACUGCCUUCAAGGAAGACACCUACUUCGUCUUUCACCUAAACUCCUCGGAGAAGAAAGCGCUGCAAGAGCUUUUCCUUUUUUUAAUCAAGAUUUAGGAAUUUGAUUGGUUCUUUUUUUAAUUUGUUUACCGAUUUCAACCGGUUCAUAUAUAAAUUUUUUAAUAUCAUUGUAAUAUUUU